GCACAGGUAAGAUGGCGGUACGUAGAAGCAGCUGAUCAGUGCGUGUCCCGCAUUUAGUGUACCUUUGCACGUAACACUGCACGAUUAGAUGAGUCUCGGCCUCCGUGGUGUGCUUUCGCCCAAGAAGAAUUUCGGAAGCUGUGAACAUCAUGGAAACCGUGAAAGCGAAGCGCAAGGAUAGCCAAGAAUCGAUGAAGGUUGGAAAGCAGCACGAUGUACUGCAGCAGAUACUGGAAAACAGGAGGAGGCAGGUUGGGCGGGCUGGAGGGCCGUGUGUUGGACGUCUUGAGCCGCACCGGCCCAGGCUACGCGCCGGUCGAUUUUUU
rnacentral:lncRNA from 1 species